UGGUAAAUCUCGUGCCAGCCACCGCGGUUAUACGAGUAACCCAAAUUAAUAUUUCACGGCGUUAAGGGUGAUUAGAAAUAUCUUACUCAAAAUAAAGUUAAAACCCCAUUAAGCUGUCAUACGCUAACCAUGCUUAAAAACACCACUCACGAAAGUAACUUUAUACAAACAGAGUUUUUGACUUCACGACAGUUAAGACC
rnacentral:rRNA from 1 species